GAUUUCUGGUUCGGCGCACUUGGCCCGUCUCGGUUUACGGGAUUGUGUGCCGGUGUGCGCCAUCCAUCCUUCGAGAGAACACUUCUACCCUUCACUGGGUCGGGAGUGCUAUCUCGAUCUUUUACUUUGAAAAAAUUAGAGUGUUUAAAGCAGGCUUGCGCUAUGAAUACAUUAGCAUGGAAUAAUAAUUUAGGACUUGAUUCCUAUUUUAUUGGUUUCUAGGGAUUAAGUAAUGAUUGAUAGGGAUAGUUGGGGGUGCUAGUAUUCAUCGGCCAGAGGUGAAAUUCUUGGAUUCGAUGAAGACUAACUAAUGCGAAAGCAUU
rnacentral:rRNA from 1 species